GUUUUAGCUGCAGAGUACUUUUAGCACGUAAUGCCACCAAGUCUUCAAAAAUCUUGUAAACUGCCUUCCAUUUAAUUAUGACAGCUCAGUUCUAGAUUCUGUUUAGGCCACUGAUGAGAAAGUCACUAAAGGAUGGGAUCGGCUACCAUGGAAACAGUGAAGAGCACCAGCAGCAUUUCACAGGGCUAGGACUAAAAAAGACGUUCUGCAAAGAGAAGAAUUUAUGAAAAAGGUGAAUGAGUUUUGCAGACCUGAGCUACCACUGUUGUCUAUAGACCUGCUUUAACUAGGAACAGGGUAAGCCCUGCUCUCUGUCACCCUUAAUUUU
rnacentral:lncRNA from 12 species